GGCGGCAUGCCUUACACAUGCAAGUCGAACGGCAGCACGGGGGCAACCCUGGUGGCGAGUGGCGAACGGGUGAGUAAUACAUCGGAACGUGUCCUGUAGUGGGGGAUAGCCCGGCGAAAGCCGGAUUAAUACCGCAUACGAUCUACGGAAGAAAGCGGGGGAUCGCAAGACCUCGCGCUAUAGGGGCGGCCGAUGGCAGAUUAGCUAGUUGGUGGGGUAAAGGCCUACCAAGGCGACGAUCUGUAGCUGGUCUGAGAGGACGACCAGCCACACUGGGACUGAGACACGGCCCAGACUCCUACGGGAGGCAGCAGUGGGGAAUUUUGGACAAUGGGGGAAACCCUGAUCCAGCAAUGCCGCGUGUGUGAAGAANGCCUUCGGGUUGUAAAGCACUUUUGUCCGGAAAGAAAACUUCUGCCCU
rnacentral:rRNA from 1 species